UGAAGAUCCAAUUUUUCCUUGGACAUUCCCAGGGAUUCUCUGGAUCCAGGAAUUCCUUCUCAAGAUCCCAAAAUCCCAAAAUCUCAAAAUCCCAAAAUCCCACAAUCCCGACCCUCUGGCCAUGGUGGGAUCCAUUCCCUGUCCUGCUAUUCCAGGCCCUUUUCCCAAAUCCCUCUGGGUUGGAUCCAUCCCCAUCCCGAUUCCUCGUUGAGAAGGAAUUUCGGGAUCCAGGGAAUUCUCUGGGAAUUCAGGACUCCAGGAAGGGUCUCCCUUCCCUUUUCCAUCCCCAAAUUCCAUAAAAAUCCCUCGGGAUGGAUCCUGAGUGUCCCAGAUCCCAGAAUCCCGGAAUGGUUUGGGAUGGGAUCCAUGGACCUUCAAUCCCAUCCCAUUCCAUGGGCACGGAAUUCCAGGUUCCUCCAAUCCCCAUCCCAGGGAUGGGACCGUCUUUCCCAUUUUUUUCUGGAAUUCCUAUUCCCAUUAUCCCUGUUAUCCCGGAAUUCCCGAUCCCAUUUUCCCUGUUAUCCCAAAAUUCCUGAUCCCAUUUUCCCUGUUUUCCCAGGAUUCCCGAUCCUGUUAUCCCUGCUUUUACCAGAAUUCCUGUUAUCCCAUUUUUCCCGGCAUUCCCACCCCGUUAUCCCUGUUAUCCUGGAAUUCCUGAUCCCAUUAUCCCAUUUUUCCUGGAAUUCCUGAUCCCAUUAUCCCUGUUAUCCUGGAAUUCCUGACCCAGUUAUCCCCGUUAUCCCCGUUAUCCCUGUUAUCCUGUUAUCUGGAUCCCGUUAUCCCUGGUAUCCCAGAAUUUCUGAUCCCGUUAUCCUGGCAUUCCCUAUCCCUUUUUCCCUGUUAUCCUGGGAUUCCUGAUGCCGUUAUCCCAUUUUUCCUAGAAUUCCCGAUCCAUGAUCCUGGUAUCCCUGUUACCCUGGAAUUCCCGAUCCCUGUUAUCCCUGUUAUCCCAGAAUUCCUGAUCCCAUUAUCCCUGUUAUCCCUGUUAUCCCGGAAUUCCUGACCCCGUUAUCCCCGUUAUCCCGGUUAUCUCUGUUAACCCUGUUAUCCCCAUCCCGUUAUCCCUGUUAUCCCUGUUAUCCCGGAAUUCCUGAUCCCAUUAUCCCCGUUAUCCCCGUUAUCCCCGUUAUCCCCGUUAUCCCCGUUAUCCCCGAAUUCUGACAUUCCCAUUAUCCCGAUUUUUCCCACUUUUUUCCCAGCUCCAGCCCAUCCAGCGCUGGGACCGCUCGCAGGACGCGGUGUACGGCAGGGUGACGGAGCGGUCCCUGGAAUUCCUGAUCCCAUUAUUCCCAUUAUCCCUGUUAUCCUGGAAUUUCUGAUCAUGUUAUCCCGAAAUCCUGACCCCAUUAUCCCGUUUUUUUCCC
rnacentral:lncRNA from 1 species